rnacentral:rRNA from 1 species
GAUGAACGCUGGCGGCGUGCCUAAUACAUGCAAGUCGAGCGAACGGACGAGAAGCUUGCUUCUCUGAUGUUAGCGGCGGACGGGUGAGUAACACGUGGAUAACCUACCUAUAAGACUGGGAUCACUUGGGGAAACCGGAGCUAAUACCGGAUAAUAUUUUAAACUUCAUUGUUCAAAAGUGAAAGACGGACUUGCUGUCACUUAUCGCUGGAACCGGGCUGCAUUAGCUAGUUGGUAAGGUAACGGCUUACGAAGGCAACGAUGCAUAGCCGACCUGAGAGGGGGAUCGGCCACACUGGAACUGAGACACGGUCCAGACUCCUACGGGAGGAAGCGGUAGGGAAUCUUCCGCAAUGGGCGAAGGCCUGACGGGCCAACGCCGCGUGAGUGAUGAAGGUCUUCGGAUCGAAAAACUCUGUUAUAAGGGAAGAACAUAUGUGUAAGUAACUGUGCACAUCUUGACGGUACCUAAUCAGAAAGCCACGGCUAACUACGUG